rnacentral:tRNA from 1 species
GGGCGAGUGGCGAAACUGGUAGACGCGGCAGACUUAGGAUCUGCUGGAGGAAUCCGUAGGGGUUCGAGUCCCUUCUCGCCCA